rnacentral:rRNA from 1 species
UACGUAGGGUGCAAGCGUUGUCCGGAAUUAUUGGGCGUAAAGAGCUCGUAGGCGGUUUGUCGCGUCUGCUGUGAAAAUCCAGGGCUUAACCCUGGACCUGCAGUGGGUACGGGCAGACUGGAGUGCGGUAGGGGAGAUCGGAAUUCCUGGUGUAGCGGUGAAAUGCGCAGAUAUCAGGAGGAACACCGGUGGCGAAGGCGGAUCUCUGGGCCGUAACUGACGCUGAGGAGCGAAAGCUAGGGGAGCAAACGGG